AGUGAACGCUGGCGGUAGGCCUAACACAUGCAAGUCGAACGGCAGCACAGUAAGAGCUCGCUCUUACGGGUGGCGAGUGGCGGACGGGUGAGGAAUACAUCGGAAUCUACUUUUUCGUGGGGGAUAACGUAGGGAAACUUACGCUAAUACCGCAUACGACCUACGGGUGAAAGCAGGAGAUCUUCGGACCUUGCGCGACUGAAUGAGACGAUGUCGGAUUAGCUAGUUGGCGGGGUAAAGGCCCACCAAGGCGACGAUCCGUAGCUGGUCUGAGAGGAUGAUCAGCCACACUGGAACUGAGACACGGUCCAGACUCCUACGGGAGGCAGCAGUGGGGAAUAUUGGACAAUGGGCGCAAGCCUGAUCCAGCCAUACCGCGUGGGUGAAGAAGGCCUUCGGGUUGUAAAGCCCUUUUGUUGGGAAAGAAAAGCAGCAGAUUAAUACCCCGCUGUUCUGACGGUACCCAAGGAAUAAGCACCGGCUAACUUCGUG
rnacentral:rRNA from 1 species